rnacentral:lncRNA from 1 species
CCAAACAAAUAUAUACAAAAUAUAAAAAUAAGAAUAAAACAACUUUUAUUUCAUUUCAUUAUACAACAGAGUUCUGUACAUGCCAAUAGGUUUUGAAGUGCUGCCCGACAUGGGGAAAUCUAGAGAAGUUUGAUACUUGGGAUGUUUGAUAUAAGCAAGAGGCAGGUUGUCCAAGACAUCAUUGGUCGUGAGACAUUUGCAUAGAUUCAGAAACCAACAGUUUCGUUACCAAGGGAUCACUAAUAAUCCAGCAACAUAAAAUCUACUAGCACUAAUCGAGGUAAAUGUUUUAAAACAAAAGCAAUGUUCAUAUGCAGGUUAGUGGUGAUGCUUAUACUUUGAGCCUUUGGACACCUCCUUCCAUGCUUCCCGGUCCGCGCAUUUCCUCAUCUUGGUUGGGUCAUACACAAAGAAUAGAGCAUUCGCAUUAUGUUUACAAUUCUUCCGGUGCGCCUAGUUUUUUAGCAACCAAUAACAAAGGCUCCUAACCUUGAUAACGUCAUUAAACUGCCAAAGAGGAAGAAGCAAAGUGAGUACCAUAAGAGUGGGUAAUUUCAACAAAGGAAAAGAAUUCGGUGAAGAAGUUAGACACUUAUCCCACAUCACUAUACGCAUGACCAUAAAUCUUCAGCCUUAUGUUCAUUACAGACUAAAUCCUGGCCAUGUUACUGCAGCAUUAAGACCAACCUCUAUGAAUGCAAACAGUAAAAUGAAUUCAGAAAACAUAAGAGAUUGUGUUAAAAUAAAGUUGCAUAGUCUCAAAUGUCAUAAAUAAAUAAAGCAAAUCAUAAUCAGAUCAAUCACGUAAUGAAUUCAGAAGGGAAGAAGAGUCAUUUGUAGGUUACAAACUAAUGCAAGAAGUAACAGUCAACUAGAAUUCAUCACAUAUUCCCUUGAUUUACUACACAUUAUUUUCGAGCAGUUAGGAAAUUAAGGGGCAUGUAAUCAGACAGAUUUGUUGGAGCAGGGUAUCAGGGAUAAUUAAGCAAAUGCAAACCAGAAGGCAUGUUGAUUUCAGUUACAUAAUCAGCCUAAUUGCAGCAGUAAAGAGCAGUCAUAGAGCAGAGUUCUUAUAAGUUACUGGAUCAAAAUGGGCAGCCCAGGGGUCUACCUUCAAACAGUAUAAAAGGGG